rnacentral:rRNA from 1 species
UACGUAGGUACCGAGCGUUAUCCGGAUUCACUGGGCGUAAAGCGCGUGCAGGUGGUAUGGUAAGUCGGGCAUGAAACUCUUGGCUCAACUGAGAGACGCUGUCCGAUACUGCCGAACUUGAGGGUGUAAGAGGGAGGUGGAAUUCCGCAUGUAGUGGUGAAAUGCGUAGAUAUGCGGAGGAACACCAGUGGCGAAGGCGGCCUCCUGGUACAACUCCUGACACUCGAAACGC